rnacentral:rRNA from 1 species
UACGUAGGUCCCAAGCGUUGUCCGGAUUUAUUGGGCGUAAAGCGAGCGCAGGUGGUUUAUUAAGUCUGGUGUAAAAGGCAGUGGCUCAACCAUUGUAUGCAUUGGAAACUGGUAGACUUGAGUGCAGGAGAGGAGAGUGGAAUUCCAUGUGUAGCGGUGAAAUGCGUAGAUAUAUGGAGGAACACCGGUGGCGAAGGCGGCUCUCUGGCCUGUAACUGACACUGAGGCUCGAAAGCGUGGGGAGCAAACAGG